rnacentral:tRNA from 1 species
GUGGUCAUGGCGGAAUGGCAGACGCGCCAGCUUGAGGGGCUGGUAGGGAAUCUCCCUGUGUGGGUUCAAAUCCCAUUGACCGCA